ACAUUUGACCCACCUGUGGCCUACAUUCAGCUGGGAAACUGUAUGAUGGAAACUGAAUCCAUGAUGCUUCUGGCUUUCACAACUAGACAAUGUAGACCUGGGAUGCUGAACUGUGAAAAAAAUCUUGAGUGCCCUUCUUAGAACAAGAGUAUAUGAACAUGCCACUAACACCAUUAAUGAAGUUUUGGGUGGUCAAGGGGAAAAGCCAAAAUAAUAGUAGUAGAACUGUAAUGACAUUCCAGAAGAAAGGUCACUGUGUGCAACAUAGAGGAAAUAACACAGUGUUUGAAGGGAAGAGGGGAAGUGAGAACAGAGAAGGAGAUAUGAUGGCUCUUUCCUGAGGACAUCUUUGGAAGUCAUCUGCACAAGCCAUCACACUUCCUCACAUCACUCCACACCAAAUAAGAGAGGUAUGAAAAAAAAGGCCCUAUGAAACUC